CAGCGAGGCUGGAGUCGAGGCUCAGCUAGCUGAGUCUGUUGCUGGCCAGAUCAGCUGGCAAGUCUGUCUAGCGGGGGUGUGGCACAUCAUAACAAAGGGCUGUGGGCAGACAGGCGACUGACUGCACAGCUCUUAUCAACCCCCUCAAUUUUAGCCGAUCUAUAUCUCCCCUCCCUUCUUCAGUAGCCUAUCCUGCGGAAUGCAAAGCGCUAAAAAAGAAAAACAAAACAACAAAAACAAACAGUGGUGAUGUUUUGGGCGGAAGGUCACACGCAUCCAGUGGACUUUUUGAACUGAUUCUGCAAACUUCCUGCAUGUCCACGCGCACUUGCUUGAAUCUGCGCACCUUAUAGCAAUCUGCUUCAGGAAACGGAGAUUAAUACAUCAUCUAGUUCUACAUGUUGGCUGCACCGCAGUUUCAGUUUGAACAUACUGUCCAAUGCGGUGGUGGAUGUGCGUGUGUUCAGUGGGGAGGAGGAGGAGGAGUGGGGACAAAGCUCAAAGACUUGAGUGGGAGUGGCACUGUUUUCUAGCCUUUCUUACCAGAAAUUAAAAGGACAUUAUAAAGUUUACAUAACUCAACAAAAUGCUUUUAUAAUUAUGAAGCAAGGUGCAAUUAAGAUGCGAUCAUCUUAUUUAUUUAAGGUGGACUGUUGAAAUUGGCCAAUUAUACAGCAAUUAUAAUUAAUACCCUAUAUCUGACAGUAUUCUGAGCUUUAUGUGAGAUAGGGACACAAUAGGCACCAUGAAACACUUGCAUCCGAUCAAACUGACCUGUGUGUGUCCUUAGGUGGGCUUUGAGGUGGGAGGAUUUGCCAUAAACUUUUUCACAGCCAGAAUAGUUGCAUUUGUGCUUUUUCUGAGGUGGCUCCUGCUCAGUCCGACCUCUCGAUCUCUUGCCUCUUUGUCUGAGCGCAGGAUCGGAGGUGGCGGUAGGUGUGGCAGGGUUUCCAUCCUCUCUCAGGUUCGGCGUGAUCUCCUCCUUUAUCUUUGCCUGCUCGGCCACCCCGUUGGGUGUCUGCUGAUUAAAAUCCGCCAGGAUCCUCGCCACCACGAAAAGCGAGGAGUUCUCCUUCACCAGGGGCUCCUUUAUUUCCUCCCCAGUCCUGGAGGAGGUCGGGAUCUCCGGUUUAAUCUCCCUGUUGCCCUUAGGGGGGUGAACAACUGCACGACUGGACAUUGAAACAAGGCACUCUGCAGCAAAGUGAUCCAUUCUGUCUUUGAGAAAAGCCCCUCUGCUUCUUAAUGACAUUCAGAAAAAUAACUAUGAAAUAAAUCCUUGUGUUGGACGUAAUGAAAAAGUA